rnacentral:rRNA from 1 species
GACAGAGGGUGCGAACGUUGCUCGGAAUUACUGGGCGUAAGGCGCGUGUAGGCGGGUCAUCAAGUCAGGUGUGAAAUCCCCAGGCUCAACCUGGGAACUGCACUUGAAACUGGUUGCCUUGAGUGCUGGAGAGGGAAGCGGAAUUCCUGGUGUAGAGGUGAAAUUCGUAGAUAUCAGGAGGAACACCGGUGGCGAAGGCGGCUUCCUGGACAAUUACUGACGCUGAGACGCGAAAGCGUGGGGAGCAAACAGG